GUCCGAGAACACUGAACACAGACAAAACGUUACACUACAGCAGCUACUGCAAGUUAUUUUAAUGCCUGUGAGUCCGUCAGCAUAUUUCUCAAGCUGACGGUAGCAGGUCUUUCACUCCAAAUCCCUCUAUAUAUUGAAGAUGUUAUACUUUGGCAUGAAAAUGUUAAAAAAUCUGCUUGUUUUUGCUACACAAAAGCUCUUCUGUUAUACUUUUGACACUCUUGUAAGAAAACUUUUUAGAAAUCAGGGACACCGUUUGAGCUUCUUUGGCACAAAUUUUUGAUUUCAUAACAAGAUCGUGACACUUUUUUUCCCCAGUUCAGCAUCAUUAAAUCCGACCAAUUGUCCCAAAAAUAUAAACCAGAAACCCAGAUACUGGUAGACAUAUUCAAUGACUGUCAGAAAACUUGAACUCAUUGGUCUGAUGGACAUGAAACGGUUUAGAAAGAAAGCUUUUAUACAUCCAUGAACUGUAGAAGCUGGGAACCCUGAACCUGACUGCUCACAGAACUUCUUUAUGUAGUAAAGAAAUGCAUUUUUUUGUGGUGCAACCAAAAAGUUGUGGGACUGUUUGUGGUGUACAUGGACAAAUCACAGCGAUGGUACACCUGUGUAUUAAGUAGAAGCAGUAACUGUCAUGAGUCAGGAGACCAUGUAAUAGCCAAACUUCAUGUAGAGGAUCAUUGCUGGUGAUGGGAGGAGGGUCUGUCACUACCAUCAGGACAAGAAACAACAGUUUCAAAGACUGAUUAAGGAGCAUCAGUUCAGGAGCUCGAUGUUUUCCUCAACAUUCAAGCGGUUGUGAAUCAAUCUGUCAUAAAAUCCUGAAGGAGAACAAUCAGCGCAAAUGACCUGAACUGAGAUGAUGGCAUGUUGGUGCCCCAACUGCACUGUGCACCCAAUCAGAGUGCAGAGAUUAGAUUUUCUUUUUGGCCUAAAAACAAAAUCGUCACUCUCCAGCAGGUCAUCUCACCACUUUUGCCUCCUUGUGUUUGCUGACUCUUCCCCAAACUGAAAUUCAAGUUAAAGGAUUUCUGUUUUGACAGUCUAGGAGAUUCAGCGCUAACUGCAGAUGUUGGUUGACAUGUUUACAUGACUGGACUUCCAGGAAGCGUCAUAAGCGUUGCAGGAGCACCGGGAGCAGAGGAUCACUGCACAAGCAGAAUGGGAUGGUGGCACAAACUUUUUGAUCACAUCUUGUAUCUCAUCGCCUGCUCAGAAAAUUUGUCAAAAUGUGGCAGAAGGCUAAUCUGCUGCUGCAACAGGAGAAGCUAACAUAUCGUUUCCAAUGAAAAUAUGGACAAGUCUGGUAUUAAUGUAAUAAAAAAGCUGCAGUUUACAAGCCGUUUUGUGAUCCAGACCCAACUGAGACUGAUGGCUGCCUACCCUGAGCCUGGUUCUGUCUGAGUUUUUUUCUCCUUCCUGUCUCAGGGUUUUUUCCUUCCUUCCCACCGUCGCUCACAGGAAAACCAAAGGCAUCUUUGGAUUGUUGGGUUCUCUGCUCUCUGUAAGUCAUCAGGUCUGUACCAUACUAUGCUAAAUGCUUUGAGAUGACACAUGUUGUCAAUCUGUGCUAUAUAAACAAACUGAACUGAAAAAUGAAUUGAAUAUCUGCUCCAGUGCAAUAUAUCAUCUGCAGUGUUAUACAUUUACUUGCCCUGUUCCUCUUUACUUUGAUCAUUUUUCAUUUUACACCACAUAUACAUGUUUGGCAUCUGUGUGACACUUUUGCACAGUUUUGUCACCGUACUGCUUGGAAAAAUAUGUAAAUACAACAACAGGAAACUGGUGCUGCUUGAUCAAGAACAAGGUGUAAUUAAUGGUGGUUGUUGUUCUCAGUAGUAAUCAUCCAAACAUACCAACCUGACAUGCUGAUGACUGACGCCGACCACAGAGCGACGAUGAAGCAGCCAUACAGGACGAGGCGGGACAUGACCUCAGUCAACCCUGCAGCCAAUCAGACAAAGCAAUCACCUCCUCAGUGUUUGUGUUCACCCACCGUCUCCAAACAUCAAUAUCCAUAAUGAUAUUGUGACUUACUGAUCAAAGCAGGAUAAAAACGCUGAGCUCUGGAGGAGCUGGAGACAGAAAGACAAAAUGACUAAAAACAAUCGACAGAUUCGGUGAAACACUUCUGCAGUAUUGAUCAUUUAGGCCUCUGAACAGAAACGCAGCAGAACAUGAUCCCUGUUUGAAACGCUGUGACUUUUAACCCCGCGAGCAGAACAACAGCAACCGCAGAGCGAAGUCAAGUCAACAUCCUAAAGAUGUUAAGUUUCAUGAAACCAGGGAGGGUCGAUCUGAGGAACGAUAUUGUACUUACGUAUGAAGAACGGACGCCGAGGACGAAGACGAUGCUUCGCUCUGUUUCUGGUGUGUUAAUGACUAACUACCAGUGUUUACUGAGAGUCCACAGUCUGCCGCUGGACGCUGCCAGACAACAUUGUCAACACACAGACCUCCAGCUCUUUAACCUCCACCCACUCACCUGUGCUGCACUUCACACUCACUGCUGCACUCCAGUCCAAAACGCUCUUAUUAGUGUUCUAGCAAAACGUUUUUACUCAAGACCUCAGGAAGAGAGACAGACUCACUCCACAGUGACCUUUUUACAGUCCGAUAUAUGAACCUAACGAGGCAGAAAUAGUUUGAGUUUUGUCAGAGAGCAGAAAGAAGAAGCAGCUUUUAUCCAGGUGUGUGGAUUCAAUCAUCAUGAACUUCCAGGAUUUGAAUGAGACAAAGCAAAAGAGAGGAGGACGACCAAAUCAGGGGGUUAAAAGCAGAGUGGCCAAAUAUGGAAGCAAAUCAGACUCAUCAGAUUCUGAAUUUUAAAAGCUGCUGAAUUUCUUACUUUGAAUUUUUUUGCAUCAAAAUUACGUAUGUGAAUUUUUUAUGCCUGAAUUUAGCUCAUCAAAAUUCUAAAAACCAGUUAAAAAUUCAAUCUCUUCAAAAUUCGCCAUCAAAAAAAUUUGAUGUGUUCAAAAUUCACCAUCAAAAAAUUCAAUGUUCAAAAUUCGCCAUCAAAAAAUUCAAUGUUAAAAAAUUCGCUGUCAAAAAAUUCGCUGUUCACAUGGGGGACUCAGGCGUAAACAAUCGAUCCUGGCCAAAAUCGAACCAACGCCCAGCCAAUCACGUGGCGCUCCUCCGGUCAUGUGACGCAGACGGUUCACCUCACAAGACCGGGGUCAACCACAGCUACCAGCAUGAACGACGGCGCUUCAAUGCACAAUGAGGGACGUCUGCAGCGACUGAGAAAGAGUCUCACCACAUCCUGACAUGAGGAAAAAGACUUUAUUGAAGACUACAAUGAGAAAAACUAUCAGACAUCAGACGGCUGCAUUCAAGGUGAGCUCUGAACAUUUGAUCUGGAACAGGAAUUCAAUAACAGCAGCAUGAGCUUCAUUUCAGUCUGUAGCUGCUGAAUUCAUGGAUGAAUCAUCUGGCACUAGAGAGGAAGACCAUCAAACAUCCACGUCAGCUGAUGGAGGUCCAAGAGUCUCACCCAACAAACAACCUACAGAAUGAAGACCUCCAAUCUGAUUGGACGGCCUCCUAUUCAGCCACGUGUGAACAAAUGCCUCUAAGCUGAUUUGUUUUCUAAAAUAAAUCUAGUUUGAGUCCUAA